GCCAGGUGUGAUGGCAUGUGCCUGUACUCCCAGCUACUCAGGAGGCUGAGGCAGGAGGAUCACCUGAGCCCAGGAGGUCUAGGCUGCAGUGAUCCAUGAUCACACCACUGUACCCCAGCCUGGGUGACAGAGUGAGACCCUGUCUCUC
rfam:Gorilla gorilla gorilla genomic chromosome, chr3, whole genome shotgun sequence